GAUGAACGCUGGCGGCGUGCCUAAUACAUGCAAGUCGAGCGACAAGAUGAGGAGCUUGCUCCCCUGACGUUAGCGGCGGACGGGCGAGUAACGCGUGGAUCACCUACCUAUAAGACUGGGAUAACUUCGGAAAACCGGAGAUGAUAACGGCGAAUAUAUUGAACCGCAGGGAUCAAUAGUGAAAGACGGCUUUGCUGACACUUAUAGAUGGAUCCGCGCCGCAUUAGCUAGUUGGUAAGGUAACGGCCUACCAAGGCGACGAUGCGUAGCUGACCUGAGAGGGUGAUCAGCCACACUGGAACUGAGACACGGUCCAGACUCCUACGGGAGGCAGCAGUGGGGAAUCUUCCGCAAUGGGCGAAAGCCUGACGGAGCAACGCCGCGUGAGUGAUGAAGGUCUUCGGGUCGUAAAACUCUGUUAUUAGGGAAGAACAACUGUGUAAUUAUCUAUGCCCGUCUUGACGGUACCUAAACAGAAAGCCCCGGCUAACUUCGUG
rnacentral:rRNA from 1 species